rnacentral:rRNA from 1 species
GACGAACGCUGGCGGCGUGCCUAAUACAUGCAAGUAGAACGCUGAAGAGAGGAGCUUGCUCUUCUUGGAUGAGUUGCGAACGGGUGAGUAACGCGUAGGUAACCUGCCUUGUAGCGGGGGAUAACUAUUGGAAACGAUAGCUAAUACCGCAUAACAAUGGAUGACACAUGUCAUUUAUUUGAAAGGGGCAAUUGCUCCACUACAAGAUGGACCUGCGUUGUAUUAGCUAGUAGGUGAGGUAAUGGCUCACCUAGGCGACGAUACAUAGCCGACCUGAGAGGGUGAUCGGCCACACUGGGACUGAGACACGGCCCAGACUCCUACGGGAGGCAGCAGUAGGGAAUCUUCGGCAAUGGGGGCAACCCUGACCGAGCAACGCCGCGUGAGUGAAGAAGGUUUUCGGAUCGUAAAGCUCUGUUGUAAGUCAAGAACGGGUGUGAGAGUGGAAAGUUCACACUGUGAGGGUAGCUUACCAGAAAGGGACGGCUAACUACGU